GCUCCUGUGGCGCAGUGGUCAGCGCAAUCCUGCAAGGAGAGGCCCUCGGUUCGAACCCGAGCAGAAGCA
rnacentral:tRNA from 1 species